rnacentral:rRNA from 1 species
AUUGAACGCUGGCGGCAUGCCUAACACAUGCAAGUCGAACGGCAGCACAGCAGUAGCAAUACUGUGGGUGGCGAGUGGCGGACGGGUGAGGAAUACGUCGGAAUCUGCCCAGUCGUGGGGGAUAACUAGCCGAAAGGUUAGCUAAUACCGCAUACGACCGAGAGGUGAAAGCGGGGGACCGCAAGGCCUCGCGCGAUUGGAUGAGCCGACGUCGGAUUAGCUAGUUGGUGGGGUAAAGGCCUACCAAGGCGACGAUCCGUAGCUGGUCUGAGAGGAUGAUCAGCCACACUGGAACUGAGACACGGUCCAGACUCCUACGGGAGGCAGCAGUGGGGAAUAUUGGACAAUGGGCGCAAGCCUGAUCCAGCAAUGCCGCGUGUGUGAAGAAGGCCUUCGGGUUGUAAAGCACUUUUAUCAGGAACGAAAAGCGCUGGAUUAAUACUCUGACGUGCUGACGGUACCUGAGGAAUAAGCACCGGCUAACUUCGUGCCAGCAGCCGCCGUAAGAC